UACGAAGGGGGCUAGCGUUGCUCGGAAUCACUGGGCGUAAAGCGCACGUAGGCGGAUUGCUAAGUCAGGGGUGAAAUCCUGGAGCUCAACUCCAGAACUGCCUUUGAUACUGGCGAUCUUGAGUCCGGGAGAGGUGAGUGGAACUGCGAGUGUAGAGGUGAAAUUCGUAGAUAUUAGCUAGAACACCAGUGGCGAAGGCGGCCAACUGGUCCGAUACUGACGCUGAGGGACGAAAGCUAGGGGAGCGAACGGG
rnacentral:rRNA from 1 species